rnacentral:lncRNA from 1 species
UCGGGAUGAUCAAAGGGGGGGCUUGCCUGGUUGCUCAGACAAGAUGGAGGGGUCGUCGGUGACGUAGUCGAUUACAGCGGCAUUGGCAGCCGCCACGGGGUCUACCGAAGAGAAGGGGGGAACAGUAAAUACAUAGCAAGCAAGUGUAUAACAGGACAACAGGCAUAGCUAGACGUGUUCUAACGUGGUGCUACACGUUACCGGCGAAGGGGGAUAACAUCCGGGAAUGUUUUCCCGAAGUUUGCAUUUUUCGGACAGAUGAAACGGAGGGGGAAAGUUGCAUGUUCUCUAUGAUAGGGGCACGUGACAGAUGAACGGAGAGUGUACUCGGAUUCGUCUUGUCGUUCUGAGCAACUUUCAUGUAUAAAACUUUUUCAUCCGAUUUACGGAUUAUCUUAAAUUGAAUUUCAAAGUUUUAAAUGAUUUUUAAAAUUAUUAUUUUUUUGAAAAUAUACAAUAAAUGCUACGGGUACACAGAAGUGUACCCAACAUUGUGCAUAUGUGGCUGACAGAUGGGGCCAGAGGGCCCAAUUGACCAGGUCAACAGAGACUAGUCAACCGAUGAAUAGUAGAAGUGGGUCCGCAUGUCAUUGACUCUAAGAUUAGUAGUUUUAGGAAACCUUGCUUAAUUAACAGCGGGGCCCAUUUAUCAUAGACUUAGCCUUUUUAGAACAACUAACUAAAGCUAAUAAACAGAGGGGGCCACUUGUCAUUUGUUGUUAUACUAAUUGAGCACUAAAGUAUUACCAACUAAACUAAACAAGGGUCGGCCUGGUGGCACAGCCGUGAGGCUGGUUGUGCACACACGCACAGACCACACACGACACGCAGCCCACUAUGCUAGGUGUUAAUUAUGUUCUCUAUUGACCAAAGGUAGCAAUUUGUGAUUUUCAUAGCAUUUAAACCGCACAUCAAAUGGAUUUGGUCCAGUGGGGUAAAAUGAAGUUUGUCAACUGUACUUUCUACCUAUAUUUAUUUUAGUCUUGUCAAUAGUUAAUUAACAGCAGUUUAGAGGCUGUCUAGGAGGUUAGUCAGUGUAAAAUUCCUAAAGCUAGCCAUAUAGCUACAGUCACAUUCAGCAGCAGCAGUACAUUCAGUAGAGCAGCAACUGCAUGCACACGAGCUGGGCGGCGGGCGCGACGCUGCACGGCGUACGCGUGAGCGCGCAGAACGAGGCCGGGGCGGCCGAAGCUGGAGCUCGGUGAGGUCGAGCGCAGGGGGCAAGGGGGGUUCAUGGGGCUGCGUGCGUGCGCACGUCGGGCUCCUUGGGAAUCGCAGGAGCUCGACGGUGAGCUCGUGCGCACGCGACCGCGGCUGAGGCCACGACGGCGAGCUCGUCGGCGGUUGCAGGUUCGACCAUGACGGCAACGAGGUCUACAGGCACGGGAAACGACAGGGAAGAAAGGGGAUCGACGUUGUUGCUCACCGCGGACCUGCAGAUGUGCAUGAGCGGGCUCGGGGGAGGCUCGGUGCAGCAGAACGGCGGCGGCGGCCUUCGGUGGCCGGAGGUGGAAGCAAAGGGCCGGCUCGACGAUGGAAGGGGUUCCGGAUCGUUUCGUCUCCGUAGUAGACGCAGCGGACGACGGCGGUCUUUGUGGACGCAACGGCGAGGCGAGAUGUGCCUGCUGGGCAUGGCAGAGUGAGGCGAGCGGCAACGACCGCGCUCGGCGAUGGAUCUGGAGGAGGUGACGAGUGCGUGGGAAAGAGAGAGAGCGAGGGGGCGCAAGUGGGGAGCGGUGAGUGGACGGGAGGGCUCGAGGCGUCGAGGGGACGGCGCCCUUAUCCCCUCGGGGCGGCGCCGGCGAGCUGGUCCGACAGGGACGUGUC